rnacentral:tRNA from 6 species
CGGGGCAUAGCGCAGUCUGGUAGCGCAUCUGCUUUGGGAGCAGAGGGUCGCAGGUUCAAAUCCUGCUGCCCCGACCA